rnacentral:rRNA from 1 species
GGAAUAUUGCACAAUGGGGGAAACCCUGAUGCAGCGACGCCGCGUGAGUGAAGAAGUAUCUCGGUAUGUAAAGCUCUAUCAGCAAGGAAGAAAAUGACGGUACCUGACUAAGAAGCCCCGGCUAACUACGUGCCAGCAGCCGCGGUAAUACGUAGGGGGCAAGCGUUAGCCGGAUUUACUGGGUGUAAAGGGAGCGUAGACGGCGCUGCAAGUCCGGAGUGAAAGCCCAUGGCUUAACCAUGGUACUGCUCUGGAAACUGUGGAGCUUGAGUGCGGGAGGGGCAGGCGGAAUUCUUAGUGUAGCGGUGAAAUGCGUGGAUAUUAGGAGGAACACCGGCGGCGAAGGCGGCCUGCUGGACCGUAACUGACGUUGAGGCCCGAAAGCGUGGGGAGCAAAC